AGCAGCCGCGGUAAUUCCAGCUCCAAUAGCGUAUAUUAAAGUUGUUGCAGUUAAAAAGCUCGUAGUUGAACUUCGGGAUCAAUGGAUUGGUCAUGCCGAUGGUGUGUACUGGUCAUAUUGGUUCUCACCUUCUAAGGAACCAUAAUGUCAUUUAUUUGAUGUUGUGGGGAAUUAGGACUGUUACCUUGAAAAAAUUAGAGUGUUUAAAGCAGGCUAACGCUUGAAUACAUUAGCAUGGAAUAAUGAAAUAGGACAUCGCAUUCUAUUUUGUUGGUUUCUAGGAUCGAUGUAAUGAUUAAUAGGGAUAGUUGGGGGCAUUAGUAUUCAAUUGUCAGAGGUGAAAUUCUUGGAUUUAUUGAAGACUAACUACUGCGAAAGCAUUUGCCAAGGAUGUUUUCAUUAAUCAAGAACGAAAGUUAGGGGAUCGAAGACGAUCAGAUACCGUCGUAGUCUUAACCAUAAACUAUGCCGACUAGGGAUCGGAUGAUGUUGAUUUUUUAAUGACUCAUUCGGCACCUUACGG
rnacentral:rRNA from 1 species